GUACUUAGCUAUCUAGCUACCAAUCUUAGCUUGCUGAGAACUACUUAGACUUGCGAAGACAUGGAAGUCCAACAAGUUCUUCACAUGAAUUCGGGCAAUGGAGAGACUAGCUAUGCUACAAACUCCAAUCUUCAAGUUCUCUCUCUCUCUCUCUCUCUUCUCUCUCUCUCUCUCUCUCUCUCUCUCUCUCUCUCUCUCUCUCUCUCUCUCUCAGUUACAUUUGUUCUAAGAAAUUUGAACUUGGGUAUUUGCAAAACUAGUGAUAACCAAGGCAAAGCCAAUGGUGAUUGGGAGCAUUUCAGAUUUUUAUACCACCAACUUUCCUCGAAGUUUAAGGGUUGCAGAUUUGGGGUGCCCUUCAGGGCCGAACACCCUACUAGUGAUCUCAGAGAUCAUUGAGGCUAUUGAUGAAACAUGUCAUCAGUUGAAUUGUAAAACACCUGAAUUCCAAGUGUUCCUUAAUGAUCUACCAAGUAAUGACUUCAACAACAUUUUCAAGACCUUGCUGGCCUUCUAUGAGCAACUAAAGAAGGAGAAGGGUGAAAAUUUUGGACCAUGUUCCAUCACAGGAUUACCUGGUUCUUUCUAUGAUUGGCUUUUUCCAAGUAAUACCAUAGACUUCCUUCAUUCCUCCUAUAGAGUUCAUUGGCUCUCUCAGAACUGAAGAUUUAACAACAGAGGAAGUCCAAGAAGAAACAGGCCUAAUGUGGCCUAGCCCUAAUCUAAGCACGCUUACAUGGCCUGGGCCCACUUUGUUUUAGUUUAAGUUGCUUUCAUUUGAUUUUAAGUGUUUAAAAAGUUCUUGUUGAACCAGUGGUUCACGGGUUCAACUUAAGUUGUUAUCUUAUUUUUUUUUAAAGAUUUUUAGAAGUAUGGAAUGGCUUGUAAUUAAGGGUGAACAGCUAGGGAGUAUCCAAGUCUACUUAAAACUGUCUUUUGUGGUGAACCAAUCAAACUUUGCAAUGAGAAGCCCAGAUUGCAGUUCUUUUAUUCUCUUGUACUCUUCUCUUGUCAAUUCUAUUAAACUUACAGCAGUAUUGCUACACAAUCAUAUCUUGCAGUAGAACAAGCAGUACCCACAAUAUAACUUUCCUACUCUUUGUGAAAUUUCUGAUAAUAGGUCAUAUACAGGUCUGAUCCACUUUUUGAUUCCAUACAUCUUCAGUCAGUGCUCUUAACUCUCUCCAACAAUCAAGUUUUGAUUUUUCUGGUUGAAUGCCAUAUUCCUAUUCCAAGUUGGAUUCAAUACUUGCUAUUUUGGGAGGUUAUUUAAUAACUGAUAUUUGUUGAUUUGUUGGGUCUCACAUCUACUAUUGGGUGUAUUGAAUCUGAAACCCGAUGUCAAAAAGAUCAGUUACUAGUCAAACUUGAGGUCUCAUACUCCAAUCAUUCCAGCAGAUCCAAGUAUCC